GACGAACGCUGGCGGCGUGCUUAACACAUGCAAGUCGAACGGAAAGGCCCUGCUUGCAGGGUGCUCGAGUGGCGAACGGGUGAGUAACACGUGGGUGAUCUGCCCCUUACUUUUGGAUAAGCCUUGGAAACUGGGUCUAAUACUGGAUAGGACCAUGCUGUAGGUGGUGUGGUGGAAAGAUUAGUUUCGGUAAGGGAUGAGCUCGCGGCCUAUCAGCUUGUUGGUGGGGUAAUGGCCUACCAAGGCGUCGACGGGUAGCCGGCCUGAGAGGGUGGACGGCGACAUUGGGACUGAGAUACGGCGCAGACUACUACGGGAGGCAGCAGUGGGGAAUAUUGCACAAUGGGCGCAAGCCUGAUGCAGCGACGACGCGUGGGGGAUGACGGCCUUCGGGUUGUAAACUCCUUUCAGCCAUGACGAAGCCCUUGUGGUGACGGUAGUGGUAGAAGAAGCACCGGCUAACUACGUG
rnacentral:rRNA from 1 species